UACGUAGGGUGCAAGCGUUGCCCGGAUUUAUUGGGCGUAAAGGGCGCGUAGGCGGCUCUGCACGUUCGUUGUGAAAUCGCCCGGCUCAACUGGGCGGGGUCAGCGGAUACGGCAGAGCUUGAGCAAGCUAGGGGGCAAUGGAAUUCCCGGUGUAGUGGUGGAAUGCGCAGAUAUCGGGAGGAACACCCGUGGCGAAGGCGGCACUCUGGGACGGUACUGACGCUGAGACGCGAAAGCGUGGGGAGCAAACAGG
rnacentral:rRNA from 1 species